rnacentral:rRNA from 1 species
AAGUACACUUCCCGGGAAGGCUGAGUGCUGACAGGACCGAAAAAGAGUAGGGAAGCGUCUGAGUUCACGCUGGCGAGAAAAGCUGCUAAGGAGAGUGUGAGUGCCCGUACCGGAAACCGACGCAGGUGGGCGAGGAGAGAAUCCUGAGACGGACGGGAGAACUCUUGUUAAGAAACUCGGCAAAAUGACCCCGUAACUUCGGGAGAAGGGGUGCCUCGAAAGAGGCCGCAGAGAAUAGUCACAAGCGACUGUUUAGCCAAAACACAGGUAUCUGCGAAAGCGAGAGCUGACGUAUAGGUGCUGACGCCUGCCCGGUGCUGGAAGGUUAAGGGGAAGUGUUAGGGGAAACCCGAAGCAGAGAACCGAAGCCCCAGUAAACGGCGGCCGUAACAAUAACGGUCCUAAGGUAGCGAAAUUCCUUGUCGGGUAAGUUCCGACCCGCACGAAUGGCGUAACGACUUGUGAGCUGUCUCAACAGGAGGCCCGGUGAAAUUGAAGUAUGUGUGAAGAUGCACAUUACCCGCGACUGGACGGAAAGACCCCGUAGAGCUUUACUGUAACCUGACAUUGGAUCUUGAUAACGGAUGCACAGGAUAGGUGGGACGCUGGGAGGUAUGGACUUUGGUCUGUACGGAGCGGACGUUGGGAUACCACUCUUCUGUUAUUGAGAUUCUAACCUCAAGCCGUAAGCCGGAUGAGAGACAGUGUCAGGCGGACAGUUUGACUGGGGCGGUCGCCUCCGAAAGAGUAACGGAGGCGCCCAAAGGUACCCUCAGAAUGGAUGGAAACCAUUCGAAGAGAGCAAAGUCAGAAGGGUGCUUGACUGCGAGACCAACAAGUCGAGCAGGUACGAAAGUAGGGCUUAGUGAUCCGGCGGUAAGAGAGUGUAAUUGCCGUCGCUCAACGGAUAAAAGCUACCUCGCGGAUAACAGGCUGAUCUCCCCCAAGAGUUCACAUCGACGGGGAGGUUUGGCACCUGGAUGUCGGCUCGUCGCAUCCUGGGGCUGAAGCAGGUCCCAAGGGUUUGGCUGUUCGCCAAUUAAAGCGGCACGCGAGCUGGGUUCAGAACGUCGUGAGACAGUUCGGUCCCUAUCCAUCGUGGGCGAAGGACACAUGAGAGGAGCUGCUCCUAGUACGAGAGGACCGGAGUGGACGCAUCACUGGUGCAACUGUUGUCGUGCCAACGGCACAGCAGGGAAGCGAAAUGCGGAUGGGAUAAACGCUGAAGGCAUCUAAGCGUGAAGCCCACCUCAAGAAUAAGUGUCCCAUUCGAAAGAAGUAAGACCCCUGGAAGACUACCAGGUGAUAGGUCAUCGGUGAAAGAGCGGUAACGUUCGGAGCUUGAUGAUACUAAUCGGUCGAGGACUUGAUC